UACGUAGGGGGCGAGCGUUGUCCGGAUUUAUUGGGCGUAAAGCGCGCGUAGGCGGCUGCGCAAGUCGGUUGUGAAACCCCGGGGCUCAACCCCGGAACUGCAUCCGAUACUGCGUGGCUAGAGGUAGGUAGGGGAGAUCGGAAUUCCUGGUGUAGCGGUGAAAUGCGCAGAUAUCAGGAGGAACACCGGUGGCGAAGGCGGGUCUCUGGACAGUUCCUGACGCUGAGGCACGAAGGCCAGGGGAGCAAACGGG
rnacentral:rRNA from 1 species